UACGAGGGGGGCAAGCGUUGUUCGGAAUUAUUGGGCGUAAAGGGUGCGUAGGCGGUCUGAUAAGUCAUCUGUGAAAUCUAUGGGCUCAACCCAUAGUCUGCAGGCGAAACUGUCGGGCUUGAGUAUGGGAGAGGUGAGUGGAAUUUCCGGUGUAGCGGUGAAAUGCGUAGAUAUCGGAAGGAACACCUGUGGCGAAAGCGGCUCACUGGACCAUUACUGACGCUGAGGAGCGAAAGCGUGGGGAGCGAACAGG
rnacentral:rRNA from 1 species